AUGUCGUCACUAUAUUCGGCGCGUGUGAUUGGCUGCUCAGGCCACGUGGGAAUCAUUUGAAAAAACGCGCAAGGUAAUUUGUGUCGAAAGUGCAGCGGCCGCCGCUUUCCUGAGUAAAUGAACCUUACAAGACGGUUUGGGAGAAAUAUCAAAAAGGCUGGUUAACUGUAGCUAUGCUUCAGAAACAUGUCAGUGUUAGCUAACCAUUUCAUUUCACGGUUUGUCAGGUGAUACUACGAGUACACAGGCUGUGUGCGCCAUUACCUGAGCCCACAGAGAGAGUGUUUAAAGUGCCAGGCUGUAAUCGGAGGUGGAAGGGGGGCGGCCAUCUUGGAUUUCUCAUCUUCGCUUGACAAGAUACAUUACCCUUUUGCAUUCCUCUUACUAAAGCUUUUCACUUGCUCUGGCAAACAUGAAUUCAGUGCGCAGAUACUUGGCACACUGGGAGUGGCCGUUGUAUUCAGCCAGGUCUGCUGCUGUGAAGCCGUCCUGGUCCCUGAUGCCCAGGUCUACCCCAUUGACCACAAGGAUCUGACAGCACUGGAGAGUGACAUGAGAGAGACAGAGAGGAUUUGACUCAUAGUGUCCUGACAUUCUAACAUACCAGCCAGACGAUGACUGUGUUGUGGCCCAUUUGGGCAGCAGCAUGUAGAGGUGUCAUCCCGUCAUUGGCUCUG